CUUGUAGAGUGGGACCAAAUAUGCUUUGAGCAGAGUUAAUUUAACACUCUGGAUUUUGCUGUGCAGGGGUUCAUUUCCCAAAAGCAUUGUUAGCUAACUAUGGUCACAAGUUCCUUUGAACUCUAUUAGUAAUGACUGAACUUGCGACCGUCGUUGUUUGUGGGAAACACACCACUGUUUCUGAUCAUUGUCUUGAAGUAGAAUGAACUACCAGCCAAACAGUUUUCAGACAUUUGCUUGAACUUUAGUAGCUGAGAUGUUUCUGUACACUUCCAAACUCAUACAUUAUGAGGAAGAAUAGUUCAAUCAUUAUAAAAUAUACAAAACAGUACAAAAUUAUGAUUUAGAUUAACAUUAUCAUCUCUGACUGUUGGUGUUUAGUUUUUUUUUUUUUUGCAGUUUCCUCAGUUUGUCAGAUACAGAAAUGCCUUGUUGUGAGUAAUUUAAUAGUGUGAACAGAUUUAGUGAAUAACAAGAUGCUCUUGUAAAUGAAUUUAGCACUUAAUUUUAGAAUUGAAAUUUUGUUUACAAAUCUGAAAUUGAAGUUGUAUAGAGAGGCACAUACAAGUUAAAUCUUAACAUUAAUUGUUCUCAUCUGUUUGACUUCAAUCACCAUUUGUACAGAAUGAGUGGAAUAAAGCAGUGGACGAGUGGAAAAAACUUUAAAAUAUACUGGCUAAACAAAGCAGUUAAUUUUAACACACGUGCUCUUGUGGGCAAAUUGUUCUCAUCUGUUUGACUUCAAUCACCAUUUGUACAGAAUGAGUGGAAUAAAGCAGUGGACGAGUGGAAAAAACUUCUCCCAACUGUGUUCAUGGAUAAGAAGGAUUUCUUCAUUGAAGUAUGUAAUGUUCAAAUCUCAUUUUCCACAUUGAUAUUUGUGUUAUUGUCUCAAAACAUUUAAGUCACUAUAAUAUUGUAAAUCUUUGACACAGACUAUUAAACUGGACUAUAGUGACAAGCAGACUGAAAACCCCAUCAAGAAUGUCUAUUUCUACAGGAAGAGAAACCCCACUGAUGGCAUCAAUAUUAAGGAAUAUGAGAAAUCCAGUCUGCUGCCAGAGGAGUAUACUGAAUAUGUUGGUCGGGUUUACUACACAAAAAAAUCAGAUGAGGAGGAGAGGGAUGCUAAGGAGUGCUUCAGAUGGUGGCGUCUCAGUAAGGACAGGGUGAGAGUUUAUGGGUUAUUUGUCAUUCCUGCAGAACUGACUCACAAGUCACACAGAAACACUUUACAGUGACAUUGUUCAUAAAUCAAGUCUUCAUAAAUUAAGGCUCUAUUUGCUUGUCUCAU
ensembl:lncRNA